rnacentral:lncRNA from 1 species
UGAGAAGAUAGCAAAAGCUGAAGCAGACACAGAAUCCACAAGUGGAAAAUACAGCAGUGCCAUUAAAGGAGUGGGCAUGUGGCCUAUUUCUGGCCCUAUGAAGCAAAAGGAGAGGUCUGCUGGGAGACUUCCUGAAACUGCUCUUCCUGGAAGGAGGGAAACAAACAAAACAACAACAAAAGAACUUUACAAGAGAAAGCUUUUUAUCCCAGCCCCUUCCUACUCCCAUUGAAUGCAGCUCUGUGAGGACACGAUAUUUGAAGCUGCAGUAGCUGAGGUGGCAAAAGAUGGCAGAACAGAAGAGCAGACAGAAUCUGGGUCCUAGAUGACUUCAUUGCACUGCUGCAACUGCCUUCUCCAGACCUCUUGCCAGGUGAGAAAAUUAAAUGUCAUCAUUGCUUAAGCCCCUGGGAGACUAGAUUCUGUUACUUGCCACUGAAUGCAUCCUAAUGCUGUAACUGUCUCUUGCACUGAAACCAACUUGCAAAAUUUACAGCACAAACUCUGCCCAUGUAUGAAGAGAAUGUAAAAAAGCAUUGCAAACAUCUCUUUUGGGAAAAUAAAUGGAUAACACCAUUUUUUCUUUUCAUUUGAGUUGUCCUAUCUUUGGCAAGUGAAAGCUGAAAAGCAGAAUUUUCACAUAUAAAUCAAAUUUCCCCAUUUCCCUCCUGGCAAGGGGUAAGAAACUCUUAGCCCAUACAUGCUUUCUAAUUAGUUAAGAAUUGGAUUUCAAGCCCUACUCUUAUUGUUCGGUUUAUUCUGCUUAGUUCAUUCAGAUAAGAGAAUCCUUGAAGGUAAGGUUUAGGGUAGUCAAACAGUUAUGAACAAUGGUUGUGAAUUAUGACAUAUUCCAGCAUUUUGGAGCAGCAGCUUAGUCAGCUAUCCUCAGAGCCAGUCUGAGGACUCUGACCAAUACCAGUGUGGGUUGUCUAAACAAAUUAAUUUUUAAAAGUAAGGAAUGUGUCUUUUCAGGCCUGUGGUUCCCUAUGGAAACACUGACAAGAACAGGUGGAAGAAAUAUGUGGUCUUCGGUUAAAAACUCUUCAGGGUUCAAAGAAGGGCACUCUCACAUCAUGUGAUGGGUGAGCUCUAGUCAUUCUGUGAGAGGAACUCCAGGAGACCAGAUCCAACUCGCAAUCAGCUAUAGUGAAGUUAUGAUAUGAGAAGCACCAACUUGGCACAAGACUUGGGAAAGGCAAUGAGGCAGCAGGCAAGCUUUAAGGGAUGACACUUACCUUGAGGGAGCAAGGACAAGUUGUGACCUUCCCAGUCCUCUCUCCAUUUGCAGAUCAGCAAGCUUCUGUCAGCAAGGAGGGGUGGACAAUGAAACUGGGUUCAGCUUGAUUUGUUUUUUGAGACAGGUAUGGCAAGGGGCUGCCAACAAGGUAAGUCAUCUUUGGACAAGCCAAGUGCUUUGGGAAACAAUUGUUUCUGAAAAUAAGUGUUUGUGUCAAACAUUCUCUUUGUUAGUAGGAGACAUUUUUGUUGGAUCAUGUUGUCCUCAGCAAAAGAGGUUGCAGAGAAGUUAAGGAAGUUGGGAUAACUUAGAGUCUCAGUGCUUUGGGGCAAUUUACAGACAGCACUGUGUGAUCCUCCCAUCUCAGGACUUACAUCAUGUUGCUAACUCCCUCACUGGGGGCCAUGGUUCUGAAAGGAAGAAAGCAUGUCUUAUUCACUCACCUUUGAGUCUCCAGCACUGAGCACAGCACCUGUCACUCAGUAGGCACUCAAUAAAUGUAAAUUGAUAUGAAACAUGACACGUGGUGCCUUUUACAGAACAAAAAUUAAUUUGUCCUAAAGGCCUCCAGGGAUGCAAUUCUGAAUUUUAGUAUGUGUCUACCUUAGGGUUGAGGUUAAUGUUUAAGUGUGACAAGAAAGGGUUAGUUUGGCUGAAAUAGUUCUUCCUGUGGUAUUAACUGGUAAAAUGAAAUAUAAUGUCAUUCUAAUCUCUUCCAAGCCUUUCCUGAUUCAAACAUGGAAAUGUGUUUCUGCAGAUUGGGGCGUUUCAGCUAAAGGUUCAACGAGAUUAAAAAGGAGAAAGCUUGAGUCGUUUGAGUCAAUAUCACAAACAGGAUUUAGGUAUUCAUUAAGAUAAGGAUAAACUGCUAAAUUUAGGUUUACUCAUGAUUAAUUUGUUUGAUGUAUUUCCUUGCAGAAUAAUACAUGAACUAGAUUUUGAAUGUGAUACAGACACACACCAUUUUUUACAAUAUAUAGCUUAAAAAUUUAGAUGUAUUCUAUGUGUACAAUCCAGAAAGGAGAUGAAAUCCUGCCUCCUCUUUUAUAAACUUAUUUGGAGGGGGAGCUAAAUGGAAGCCAAAUUUUUGCUGAACUCAAAUUGGCCAUGGAUUCUGGAUACACUGGGGCUGGAGAAGGGUAUGGUUGAGAAGGACAAGAGGCAUUGCACAAACACAUUCCUGGAAAUAAAUCUACACAGACUGGUUGACUUGAAAACUGGUUAAUCAGAAAUUUUGCCCUGCUUCGGGUAAAGCUAGAAACAUUGAAUCCCAACUCUGUGAGUAACAUGCCUAAUAGGAAAACUGAAAAUUCUGUGUAUUUCUUUUCCAAAAUUAAAUGGCAGCCAACGUUUGCAGAAAAAAAAAAAAAAAAACAACCACAAUGGGGAAUUAGAUUACAGCUGUUUGCUUAAAAAUUGAUAACUGAUUUUGUUGUUUCUUUAAUGGAAAUAUUUGUAUUGUGCAUUCUUGUUGUUGUCUGAAGAAAAAUGGUGAGAAUAUUACAGUGCGACUGCAGAAUACAAGUUUGAUAGAACUAAUCUGAUUUACCUUAGAUACACUCCUCAUUCGGGAGAAUUUAUUUAACUGGUAAUUUAAUUUAGGUGGAGAGGCACUUUAAUUGGAGUUGAUUACUGUGGGAUUUUUACAUAAAGUACGAUGCACUCUUGAGUUACAGCACCACAUGAUGUAAAAUUGGGUAAUUUUAAGCCACUGGAUAUUUUUAUCCCAACUAUAAUAGAAUUUGCUGAAAAAUGCUUAUUAACUGAAACUGUUUUCUAGGUUGGAUACUAUUUGGAAAAUCUUUGGCACUAUGUCAAAGAUGGUUGGAAAUUUACUAAAGCUAGCAGACCAAAAAACAAAACAAAACAAAACAAAAAGACUUAAUUUAUUAGGACUGCAGUGGUGAUGUGUUGUCACUUCAGGACACCCCACUACCUGAAUUGCAGCAGUGUUGCGAAUCAUCACUCUGCAGUGAAUGGGAAUUUUUGGUUUAGAGUUUAACAGAUUUUCCUGGUCUUUCUCCUAGCGACUGACACAGAAAUACGAAAGAAUAAAAUGAUUCCAAAAAAAAAAAAAACACCUACAUUAACCAUUUGGGGGUAAAAACGAUGAAAAUGUAAAGGCAAAUGAUGAAUUUAUCAAAAAGAAUGAAGGAACAGAUAGCAUAUGUAUGUAGGAACACAGUAGCUUUAAAAUAUCAGAAAGAUGAAGGACAGAAAUGCCAAGUGAAGCAGAGGGUUUCUACAUUUGUCUUCUGCUUUUGCAUGUCCCACAUUCCCUUAUGUAAUAGAUCUUUAAUGGAUUCCCUACUGUCACAGAACCUUUAUAAGACCAGCCUAUGGAGAAUGCAAAGGAACUAAAUAAUGGACAGUUAACGUUCUGGAAAAGCAAUUUAUUAUCUUGCUAGGAGCUGGCUUCUCAUUGCAUUUAGAAUAAACUUUAAACAGCUAUAUCAUCUUCCAGGCCUGAUAUGAUCUGGCCCCUGCAAACUUACCUUCACAUCUUCCACUCCCAUCCUCAUUCUUCAGGCUCUAGCUACACUGGCUUUCUUUCAUCCUUGGACUUUCUACACUGGUUCUUUCUGCAAGGCUUUGCACUGCCAUGCUCUCUCUCUGGAAUGCUUUUCCUUUGACUAAAUUUUUCCAUGUAAUUCAGGUCUUAGUUCAAUUUUAAUCUCCCCUAAGAGAUUUCCCAUCCUAUCUAAAGCAGUCUAUGCCCUUCCCUAUCCCUAGGUCCCGCAAUCACAUUACCUAGUUAGAUUUCCUUCAAACCUCUUGAAAUUCCCUUAUUUAUUCUUUUGAGUUUUUUUCCACUUCACCUUCCCCAUAGAACAUGAGCUCCUCAGUGUCAGGGGUCUUCUGUUUCGUUCACUGCUAUAUCCCCAACACCUAGAAUAGAACAUGACACACAGUGAGCCAUGAAUGAAUGAGAAAGAGUACAGGACUCACAGUGGAACUGCCUAUGAACAAAAGGAAUACUGGACAAAAAGAAAUGGACUAGGGAAGAAAAUCAGGAAGAAGAGGAACAAAGAAUGGGGUCUAGGGACUGAGAAUUGGUUAUAGUGUACAAUUUUAGCCCCUAUAAAAAAGUUUUUUACAUGCAUUCCAAGCAGAGGGAAUGGCAAGUGCUAAGAGGAAGUCUUUCCAUCACUACACACAGCUGUUUUUUACUUUGUUGUUGUUAGUGGUUUUGUUUUCAGUGUGUGUGUUGGGAGUGGGGGGAGGAUGGGUGUGAGGGAUCUCUGCGUGUUUCUCUCAGGGGAAGGCUGGGUUUUCUCUUUCAGCCUACAGGUGUUGCUGCAUGUUCUUGGGGUGGCCAAUGGAGCACUAGACAGGAAUACCACCCAUGGCAGCUCUGCAACUUAUUCUAAGACUUUUAGGGCAAGAGGCAGGAAAGAGUGAAGGAAUGAUCACCACAUUGUACCAGGGGUAUACCAGUGAGAGGUAAGAUGAUCUGGGUGGUAGCAGUGACCCCCACUUUUUUUACCCAGAAAAAGAUGGAUAAAUGCUCUGACAUUGCUGUGACCCAGGGAUCUGUGGCCAUGGUUGCUUGUGCAGGCAGCAGCCAAUACUUCUGAAUGGCUCCCUUGGGACUACAAAACUGUGUGUGGGCGCAGGGAGCCCAUACUAUUUGCCACAUCAGAAAAAUCCAUUCAUGAAAAGGAAAGACAGAGAAUGAUAAAAGUCUUCUCAGAAAGCCUUAGCAAAAUGGGUGCUUUUAUUUUCACAGACAUGUC